rnacentral:rRNA from 1 species
AAGAUUUAACGGGGCUAGGCUAUGCACCGAAGCUCGGGGUGCACACUUUUUGAGGUGUGCGCGGUAGAGGAGCGUUCCGUAGGCCUGUGAAGGUGAGUCGUAAGGCUUGCUGGAGGUAUCGGAAGUGCGAAUGCUGACAUGAGUAACGAUAAGGGGGGUGAAAAGCCUCCCCGCCGAAAGCCCAAGGUUUCCUCGCGCAACGUUCAUCGGCGCAGGGUGAGUCGGCCCCUAAGGCGAGGCAGAAAUGCGUAGUCGAUGGGAAGCAGGUUAAUAUUCCUGCACUUUUCUACAGUGCGAUGUGGGGACGGAGAAGGUUAGGUCUACCAGGCGUUGGUUGUCCUGGGGAAAGGAGGUAGGCAUGAUUCUUAGGCAAAUCCGGGAAUCUCUAUGCCGAGCACCGAGACGAGUCCUAUGAGGACGAAGUGACUGAGACCACGCUUCCAGGAAAAGCCACUAAGCUUCAGCUGUAGAAAAACCGUACCGCAAACCGACACUGGUAGGCAGGGUGAGAAUCCCAAGGCGCUUGAGAGAACUCGGGUGAAGGAACUAGGCAAAAUGGCACCGUAACUUCGGGAGAAGGUGCGCCCUUUGGUGUGGUCACGUGCGUGACUGAGCAUCGAAGGGUCGCAGUAACCUGGCCGCUGCGACUGUUUAUCAAAAACACAGCACUCUGCAAACACGAAAGUGGACGUAUAGGGUGUGACGCCUGCCCGGUGCUGGAAGGUUAAUUGAUGGGGUCAGCCGCAAGGCGAAGCUCUUGAUCGAAGCCCCAGUAAACGGCGGCCGUAACGAUAACGGUCCUAAGGUAGCGAAAUUCCUUGUCGGGUAAGUUCCGACCUGCACGAAUGGCGUAACGACAGCGGCGCUGUCUCCACCCGAGACUCAGUGAAAUUGAAAUCGCUGUGAAGAUGCAGCGUUCCCGCGGCAAGACGGAAAGACCCCGUGAACCUUUACUAUAGCUUUACAUUGAACGUUGAGUUCUUCUGUGUAGGAUAGGUGGGAGGCUAUGAAACCGAGACGCUAGUUUCGGUGGAGCCAUCCUUGAAAUACCACCCUGAAGUGCUUGACGUUCUAACCUAGGUCCGUAAUCCGGAUCGGGGACCAUGUAUGGUGGGUAGUUUGACUGGGGCGGUCUCCUCCCAAAGAGUAACGGAGGAGCACGAAGGUACGCUCAGCGCGGUCGGACAUCGCGCACUGUGUGCAAAGGCAUAAGCGUGCUUGACUGCGAGAUCGACGGAUCAAGCAGGUACGAAAGUAGGUCUUAGUGAUCCGGUGGUUCUGUAUGGAAGGGCCAUCGCUCAACGGAUAAAAGGUACUCCGGGGAUAACAGGCUGAUACCGCCCU